rnacentral:tRNA from 1 species
AAAAUCCGUCGACUUUAUAAGUCGUGAG